UGGAUCACCUCCUAACAGGGAGACAACAAAAUGUUAAAUAUUAAUUUUGUCACCUUAGGUCGAUCGGUAUCUCACAUUCUUAAUUUUUUUAAGGAUUUUAUUUCCUAAGUUUUUUCUAGGUCACACCCAUUACUUUUCCUGGGCCAUUAGCUCAGGUGGUUAGAGCGCACCCCUGAUAAGGGUGAGGUCCCUGGUUCAAGUCCAGGAUGGCCCAUAUCUCUAUGUUGGGGGUAUAGCUCAGUUGGUAGAGCGCCUGCUUUGCAAGCAGGAUGUCAGCGGUUCGAGUCCGCUUACCUCCACUGAUUUCCACCUCUUCCAUAUUUUUAGAAGGGAAAUGUUUUGAGUUGUGAUCAAAUUCUGAACGAAUCUAGCUUCCUAAUAAUUCAUUAAGAUGCUGGACUCAUUGAAUUAACUUCAUUGUUUUCAGAGAACCUUGACAACUGCAUAGAUUAUUUUUAAAGACAAAAAGCAUCUUUAAUGAUGCAGAUUUAUUAUUUGUGCGAAUGCAUUAAAUAACAAUUCUAUUAAGCUGAUGCUUCAAUUAUGAAGUUAUUGGUCAAGCUACAAAGGGCUCACGGAGGAUACCUAGGCACACAGAGGCGAUGAAGG
rnacentral:tRNA from 1 species